rnacentral:rRNA from 1 species
CAUCAGUACAGGUGGUGCAUGGCUGUCGUCAGCUCGUGUCGUGAGAUGUUGGGUUAAGUCCCGCAACGAGCGCAACCCUUAUUCUUAGUUGUUUCCCUUUGGGAUUACCCUCUAAGAAGACUGCCUCGGAUAACGGGGAGGAAGGUGGGGAUGACGUCAAGUCCGCAUGCUCCUUACGUCUAGGGCUACACACGUCCUACAAUGGGGUCGACAAUGGGAUGCAAUAUCGCAAGAUGGAGCCAAUCCCCAAACGGCCUCUCAGUUCGGAUUGUAGUCUGCAACUCGACUACAUGAAGUUGGAAUCGCUAGUAAUGGCAGAUCAGCAUGCUGCCGUGAAUACGUUCCCGGGUCUU